UGUAUCUGUGAUGAUAAUUUGGCUCCCUCUACUGAAUUCUCUGAGGAUAACUGCCAUCGUCACCUAAAUUCUGUCUGAGAUGCG